GGCAAAUAAAAUUUCAAGAUGCUCCGGGAAGAUAAAGAAAUGAAUAAAUCGAAGCCGAAAGCACGUUGCAACUGGAGUCCGUCCCGCCUCCAAAACUGCUGGCAAAACAAAACCCCCGGGAGUGGUUUCAAUUUGCUCCUCCCCAGCCUAAGGCCACAGAGCAAGGUCGGCAAAGUCCUGGAACCCAGGCCUCUUUCCCCCAAAGCCCUACAAGGCAAGGACUUGAAGGGGGCGGAAAGGCGAGUGAGGGCCGAGAAAUUCUCACGAUUCACGUGGGCGACCCCGGCUCCAGGAACCGGGUAAAUCUGGAUAGCACAGAUACUGGAGAUUCAUCUGCCCUUUCCUGCCUAAUCUUCUUUCAUUAAGAGCCCAAGGUUGCAAGAUCAGGAGGCUGGAAGUUAAAGGCAUGGCUGACGACAUGCACAGAGGUGGGUGUGGAGAGCUACGCGUCAUUCCCGUGAAACCUGUCUGACGGCCCCUGGGAGUUGUAACCACUUAGCAAUUUGGCUCCCGGUGGAAUCAAGCAAAGCAUCUGGAGUCCUUUCCCACCCUGGCCCUCAGAAGAGAUGUCAUCUGUCAUCUCUGAACAAGCUUUUGUUAUUCUUUACUGAAUAAGGCAAAAAAUAAUCUCUCAAUUUAAAAUCCGAAUUACUGUAUUCCUAAAACAAAAGUCAGUAUUCCUAUUUAAUGUAUUCCUGAGAAAAUAUGUAAUACACAAAAGGAGGGUUUUAAAACCUCCUUUUUAACUACAGAGGGACUUGACUUGUAAGAGGCACUUAUAUUAAUAUUAAAUACACUUUGAUCUCAGAGUUAUCAUUAAAAAUAAAUGUUA